CCUACGGGUGGCAGCAGUGGGGAAUAUUGGACAAUGGGGGAAACCCUGAUCCAGCGACGCCGCGUGAGUGAAGAAGUAUUUCUGUACGUAAAGCUCUAUCAGCAGGAAAGAAAAUGACGGUACCUGCCUACGACGCCCCGGCUCACUACGUGCCAGCAGCCGCGGUAAUACGGAGGGGGCAAGCGUUAUCCGGAUUUACUGGGUGUAAAGGGAGCGUAGACGGCAGAGCAAGUCUGGAGUGAAAUGCCGGGGACCAACCCCGGAACUGCUCUGGAAACUGGGAAGCUGGAGUGCAGGAGAGGUAAGCGGAAUUCCUGGUGUAGCGGUGAAAUGAGUAGAUAUCAGGAGGAACACCGGCGGCGAAGGCGGCUUACUGGACUGUAACUGACGUUGAGGCUCGAAGGCGUGGGUAGCAAACAGGAUUAGAUACCCGGGUAGUC
rnacentral:rRNA from 1 species